GCGCCCGUAGUAGAAUGGAUACUACACUGGUCUCCGGAACCAGGGAUGCAGGUUCGAUUCCUGCCGGGCGUA
rnacentral:tRNA from 1 species